CAAAUAGUCCAUUAUUUCCACAAAUGGCAACAUGACAAUCCACUUCAACAACAGACACAGGACAUGGAAAGAAACUCAAUUAUACAAUGAGGUAAGAUGAUUAGGUGAUGAUAGGAGAUAGAGGGAGAGAGGAAAAAAAAGAUGUGGUAAACAUGACAUGUUUCCACUUUCAAAUUUGUAAAGUUAACUACGCUUCAAUAACUCCUUGUUUUUGAGGAGAUUUCACACUGAAAGAUAAGAGCAGAAAUAAGACUAAAUUUGCUUUUAUGAAAAGGAAAGAAAGAAGUAACCUGUUCUCUUUGAAGAAAAUCUAGUUUAAUCUUGUACAAAUUGACAUACUUUCGACGAGAAUU
rnacentral:misc_RNA from 1 species